UUUCCUUAAUGUCAUUCAUAUCUUACCCAAAAAAAAUUCAACAAACACCAGCAGCAACAACAAGAGAACAGCAGCAAUAACCAAUCAUACAUGAAUUUAACAUGAUAAAGAAAAACCAGAAAAUAGUUCAAUGAAAGUGUUGAUACCUCUUAUGACCUUAGUUAAAAGUUUUGAUGAAAUUCCAAUCUCCUCAUGUCCGAUUGCUUGCCUUCUUGUGUUUGAUUCCGUGUGUGUAUAUUGGGAAAAGGGAGGGAGCCGAAUGGAGCCUUUCUUUUGUGUCUUAUGAAUUGAGAGAAAAGAAAGAGAGGGAGCCGAGACUGACAUGGGAGGAUGAAGAGUGUUUUUUUUU
rnacentral:lncRNA from 1 species